GAUGAACGCUAGCUACAGGCUUAACACAUGCAAGUCGAGGGCCCGGCGCACGGGUGAGUAACACGUAUCCAACCUGCCCUUUACUCGGGGAUAGCCUUUCCAAAGAAAGAUUAAUACCCGAUAUAAAGUAUGGGGAUGCGAUCCAUUAGGUUGUUGGUGAGGUAACGGCCCACCAAGCCUUCGAUGGAUAGGGGUUCUGAGAGGAAGGUCCCCGACAUUGGAACGGAGACACGGUCCAGACUCCUACGGGAGGCAGCAGUGAGGAAUAUUGGGCAAUGGGCGCUAGCCUGAACCAGCCAAGUAGCGGGAAGGAUGAAGGCUUAUGGGUCGUAAACUUCUUUUAUAUAAGAAUAUGUAUUAUAUGAAUAAGGAUCGGCUAACUCCGUGCCAGCAGCCGCGGUAAUUC
rnacentral:rRNA from 1 species